ACUCAUGAAAAUCUGAGCAUUACAAGAAAGUUGAGGCAUAUAACUGAUGACACGGGGAGGAUAGGUAGUCUCUCCAUGGAAAAAAUAGAGCAACAAUAAUCAUGAGUUGCAAACUGUAAACUUUCUAAUCUAUGCACCAAUGCACAUUUCUAACUCUAAUUGAUACACAUUUCUAACUCUAAUUGAUAAAUCUUAUUAUGCUCAGGGGCGGACCCACAUUAGGCUGAGGGGGUUCAGAUGAACCCCCUGAAAAAAGAGAAAACUCCACAUGCCCCCCUGUAUUAUUAUUUUUUUGAACCCCCUGAAAAUUUCAAUUUGCACCAAAGACCCUUUCUCUCUCACUAACACACACACUUCUUACUCGGGCCCUCAAUCCCUCAUCCUCUUGCUCUCGCUAGGUCAAGCGCACACACACACCAGCCACCACCACAGCACCACGCCGCUCAGCCACCAGUGCACCACCGGCCACCACCACAGCACCACCAGUGGGUUACCAGUCCAGUGAGUCCACCACGCACCCUUGAUUUUUGCGCUACAGUAGCAUUUCAGCCCAGCCGUGAAUUGGGGUUUGUUUCUUUUCCUCUGGUAGCAAGGAUCCUGGCUCGUUAAUACUCUCCUGCUGUAGCUACAAGUGUCUGCUUUUGCUCCUUGCCCGCAACUGCUAUGUUCCUUUUCUUUUUCUUUUUUUUUUGAGUUUGUAGUAGUUGUAGUUGUCUGUAGUAGUUUUUUUCUCUUUUCUCUACUGUUCUGUGUUUGCUUUUCUAUGCAAGGGGCCUCUUGAAAUUUACUGGCCUUUUGCUUUGAUUGUAUCUUUCUCUUUUGUUGAAAUAAACUCAGCUUUCUAAAAAAAAACUAGUGAAUUAGAAGUUUCAUCAA